GAUCGAAUGUCACAUCUUUAUAUAUAACAGGAGUUCUAUACAAAAUAAAUAAUUACAUUAUAAGGAGACAACGGUCCAGCAACCCAAAGUUGACUGGGAGACGACGACCUAGACCACUCACGAACUCAACGCAGCAUCCUUCAAGCGCCUCAUCCUGCGGUACCUGUUCUUGACCUGUGGGGGGGGGGUGUGAGACAGCAAGAGUGAGCUCACAUACGUUCAUCGCUCAACAAGUUGUGGGGAAUAAUGUGCAUGAACUCGCCAAAGGUGGGAGCUCACGUGAAGUGUAAGGCUUACCAAAGAGGAUGGCUGAAGCUGAGCAUUGCUUUUAAAGUUGGUCAAAAUUUUAUUAGCCAUAACUAAGUAUAAGUAAAUACCAACCCAAUUAAAUAGUAGAACAGAAGUAACAUCAUCACCUGCGAUGCAAUGCAUAUGACAAAUUGAAUUUAAGUUCCAUAGAUUAAUCAUGUGAGUGUCCGAGCCGCUCAUGACCGUGAGCACGGCUAGUAUACCAGUUUUACACUCUGCAGAGGUUGCGCAUCUUUACCCACAAGUCAUGUUACCCAUCUGCCAAGGGAUCGCGACUUCCCAUACACCUCUACCGAGGAGGCGAGGCAGGGUAACACUACGAGGCCUUUACAAAGUUCCACUAGCUUCAGAAAACCCGCUACAGUUUAUAGGAAGCUCCAAUGCAGGAAUCCCUUGCAGGACCGCCAUCACAGCAAAAUCCUCCCGAGGGCCUCCCUAGGAAUCCCUUGCAGGACCGCCAUCACAGCAAAAUCCUCCCGAGGGCCUUCCCAGGAAUCCCUUGCAGGACCGCCAUCACAGCAAAAUCCUCCCGAGGGCCUCCCUACACUGACCACUCCCCUACUGCCCUUGCCCCUUUCGGGUAAGGUAGUCUUCCACUAGCUUUCCUAAUUAAUCGGCCAAGGGCGUCCCAUUAAACCCUUGUGGUAGCACUGUUUUCCCGGGUGGUUCUCCAUGUUCCAAUUAACAUAAUGAUCUUAUCAUGAACAGUGAUAAUAAACAGAUAAUAAAAGUGUGAUCAUGAAUAAUGUAUCUUCAUACCCAAAACCACAUAAAGCACUAGCAAGUACUACCCAAAAAGUUCAGUGAUAAACAAGGUAUAAAGAUAGACAAACUAGGGUAACCUAUUGGGUCCCAUCAAAUUAACCUAUGCAGAUCAUUAUGAUUAAUUAGAACAUGAGUGGGUAAAAAGAAGUGAUCAAGGGCACAACUUGCCUGGGUCUUGAGAUUCCAGGUACCAACUUGCUCUUCAGAUGACACGUGUCCUCGUGCUAGUCGUACAAUACAAACAAACAUGGUGUAGAUAAAAUUAACAUCACACCAAACAUAAGAAUACACUGCGUAAAAAUAAUCUACGCGAAGCUACGAGACUAACGCAACUUGAACGGAUCAAAUCGGAGUUAAAACGGAGGAGAUACGAAUUUCCUAAGGUUUUAUGUGUUUGAUAUAAAAUUAUUUGGGAGAUCAAUUUUAUUAUUGUUUUCAUGUCAAAAAAGAGACAUUAGAUGAUAAACAAUAAUAUUACAAAAUUAUAGGAACUGGAAUGAGUCAAAAAGGAGUUAAAAUGUAUUUUCUAGGAAUUAAAGAAGUUUCUGGGAUUAAUUUUGCACUAUUAAUCAUUUUCUAAAUGAAUUUCCAUAGUUUAUUCCCUGACUGGACUGCGCACCAAAAACUAGAAAGUGCAGGGGCUAAACCAUAGUUUUCCCCAAGACUCGGGUGUAUCCCGCGGGGGACGGCGGGUUGGUUUCAUGAAAACAGAGGGUUUCUUUUAUAAAAUGUAAACGGUGAAGGGGCAUCGGGCCACGACAGCCACCCGAUCGAAAUCUGGCAGUCCAGAUUAGAUUGCCCAUUAAGUGAACCGGUGCGCGACACAGACCGUUGGAUCCCCAAGCAGCGACCCAGAUUUAAUUACCCGAGAUUCCAUCGCGACCCUCGGAUCCUGAUCGAACGGCCAUCAUCCUACACCCGAGCUGGGCCGCUAUGAUCCAGUCUGGCCGUCCAUCUGCGAACCAACGGAUCAGAUACCCCAAGCCCAAAACCGGUAAGAGUUAUGCGAUCUGGAACGUCCCUUCAUGAUCCGAUGGUUUAGGUUGCAUCACGCGCAGAGAUACGAUUCCUCCUAAUCCGGCCCACCCAUUACAAGAUCAACGGCCAGGAGCUUCUCUCCCUUACCACUCACACGGCCGGCGAACCCCAGGUAGCGGCGGCAUUCUGCCCACAGAACACGGCGGCGCCAUGACUGACCCUGGCCCAAAUCCGCCUAGGUGCCCCAGACUUCAAUUCGCCCCUAGAAACGGUAUGGCAAUCACAAGGGAAAAGUCCUCACCGGCGGAAACGACGUGCAGAGGCCCGCCCACGGAGGAUUUGUGGUCCGCAGCGGAGCUUCAUCACCGGCAAGAAAUCGCCCCAGAUACGACGCCAUGACCCCCGAAUUGGUGGACGCCGCGACAUCCACACGCUCUGGUGAGGCAUCGGGCGGAUCUCCGAGCGGUGGAGAGGAUGAGCAGCGCGCGGCGAAGGGGGCAACGCCGAGCUCCAUAGAUGGCGAAGGCCUGGCACGCGCGGCCAUGGAGCUCGCGGGGGCACCCUGUACUUGGGUUUGUGGGAGCUCAAAGGGAAGGUUGGAGGCUCGCCCAUGGGGGGGAGCUCCACCCGGCUGCCAGGAAGAGGAGCAGGGGCACUGGGUGCCGAGCGCCAUGGAUGGGCAGAAGGAGAGGAGGUCGUGCGUCCAGGAUAUAUGGCCAGGGAUUCCAGCGCGCGCGGCGAAGAAGUCGCGUUCCGUUGAGGGAGAAGACCGAGCGCGGUUCGUGGAAUUGCUCCCCAAGUCCCAGCGACGAAGUAGCGACGUCUGUUACGGAGCUCGAGCGGAAGAAGGAACUGGCGUCCCGGGCCCACGUGGUAGAGACACAGGGCGCCCACAGUGUUGUGCUAUUGGGCUGGCACGGCAAUGGGCCAGCGCGAGGAAAAGGGAGCGUAGAUGGGCCAGCGCGGGGAGAAUACAGCCCAAGGUGCCAAGUAGAGGCUUCUUUUAUUUAUUUCUGUUUUUCAUUUCCAAUUGAAUUCUAUUUUGAAUUUGAGUUUGAAUUUUCUAUCUCAAACAAAAUACACAAUUGGAAUCCAGCAUGAUGCAAUAUUCAUUAUAUAUAUAUAUGUUUUUAUUCAUUCAUUUCUUAUUCUACGUAAGCAAUUGCUUUUGAAUAUGUAGCACACAUGUAAUUAUUUUAAGAAAAAUAGUUAUAUUGUAUGAUCUCUUAAAAAAAUGUUCUCACAUUAACACUUAUAGUCUUUAAUAAAGUCUAAUGUAUAUAAACGUAUUUUUUUUGAUAGAACUUUUAUAAGGAGAUUUGACUUCACAUGUUAUGGGAAUUCUUAAAGAAGAGAAAAAAAAAUUAUUCUAGUUCAAGAUCUUUGAUUUUUUUUUACUAUAUUCUCAAAAUGAGAUUUAGGGUGUUACAAAUCCUACCCCCCUUAAAAAUAAUCUCGUCCUCGAGAUUUGUAGAAAAGGGAUGCAACCAGUUUGGUUUAGGAAUCAAAAGUUUUGUUUCAAGUUUUUUUUUUAUACUCGCUAGUAGAUGAUUUGGAAAAUAUAGAUAUAUAUAUAUAUAUAUAUGUGUGUGUGUGUAUAGCCAUCUAUUAUGUCAGAUGAGGUACGAUUAUGGCAAGUAUAGGUUGUGGCAAGGAAGAGUAUAAUAAGGAAAGACUUCAUCCUGAACUGUGGAUCUUGAUUCCGCUGGCGAUUCAACUUGAUCUUUGAAGUCUUGGGUUGAUGCUUAUCCUUCUUUGUCGUGGUUGGUAUUCUUUGGCCUUUCUUGUUGGAGUUGCCAUCCGAGUUAAGGACAUAUGGUGACUAUAUAUGUGAGUAGGAUGGAUUAUGUGGUGUAGGUAGGUUAGAAUCCCUUGCUAGGUUAAAAUUGAGGGGUUAUGCAACUAUCGGAUGGUUAAGGUAGUUGCAUAAGGCCAAGUCGGUCUGUCGUUCUUAAUUUUAGUGCAGGGUGAACUAAGUUAAGACAUGUUCUAUUAGAGUAGAGUCUAAUCUAUUUCAUCAGUAUUAUCUAACAUGUUUGAUAAGCCACUUUAGAUUAGAUCGGAUCUAGGUUAGAUUGGUGUGACUAGCUUGAACUAGAUAAGAUCUAAUUAAUUUGGAUUGGAUCAUGAUUGUUACUCCGAGGUGAGAUAAGCAAAGUGGUUAGGAUAAGAUAAGAUAAGAUAGUUUCUUUUAGGAUGAGAUAAAUCUAUUAAGGUAAGAAAAUAUCUUUUAAGAUAAGAAGGAUAUUAUGAAGCUAGAUAUAUUUUAAUGGAGGAUAUUCUUAGUUUAUCUAGUGAUAUUAUGAUUUCUUAUGUCUUUAUGUAUAUGCAGAUGGAAUUGUGGACAUUACUCCACAACUCAUCACAUUCAAUCAAAGAACCAAAUCAAACAGUUAUCAUAAGAACAAACAUUCAAACGUAUAGAUAUCUACAAAAAUAAUUUUGUUUUUGUUCCUAAGAGUAGGUCUCAUAUUCCUAAAGUCACUUUAGGCACAGGAUUUCAAAGUGUGAAAUCCACAUUUGUCUUUAGAAAGAAAAGGUAAGAUUAAUCAGAGUAAAGCGGAAAUAGAUGAGAAAAGAUUAAGAUAAGUUUAGAAAAGAAUCAGAGUAGCAAAGGUAAGUAGAUAAUGGUUGUCCAGUUCUAUCUAGGUUUCGUCCUACAGUCAACAUUCCUCUGAUACCACUUCUGUAACACCCGGAUUUUAGGGGUCCAAAACCCGGGCGCUAACAUAAACACCAGGUAUGCUGGGACCAAGUCUCACACAUAUGAUGUAAAGUGGCACAGGAUCGAAUGUCACAUCUUUAUAUAUAACAGGAGUUCUAUACAAAAUAAAUAAUUACAUUAUAAGGAGACAACGGUCCAGCAACCCAAAGUUGACUGGGAGACGACGACCUAGACCACUCACGAACUCAACGCAGCAUCCUUCAAGCGCCUCAUCCUGCGGUACCUGUUCUUGACCUGUGGGGGGGGGGGGUGUGAGACAGCAAGAGUGAGCUCACAUACGUUCAUCGCUCAACAAGUUGUGGGGAAUAAUGUG
rnacentral:lncRNA from 1 species